AUGCGGCCGGAGCCGGACCGCCAGGGACCGAUGCAGAUGCGACCGGAGCCGGACCGCCAGGAACCGAUGCAGAUGCGGCCGGAGCCGGGACGGGAGCGACCCCCUCCUGGAGGUCGGCAGGAGCUACGGCGGGAGCGACCCCCUCCUGGAGGUCGGCAGGAACUACGACGGGAGCGACCCCCUCCUGGGGGUCUGCCGGGACUGCGGCGGGCGCGACCCCCUCCUGGGGGUCCGCCGGGACUGCGGCGGGCGCGACCCCCCUCCUGGGGGUCCGCCGGGACUGCGGCGGGCGCGACCCCCUCCUGGGGGUCCGCCGGGACUGCGGCUGGCGCGACCCCCUCCUGGGGGUCCGCCGGGACUGCGGCUGGCGCGACCCCCUCCUGGAGGUGCGCCGGGACUGCGGCUGGCGCGACCCCCUCCUGGAGGUGCGCCGGAACUGCGGCUGGCGCAACCUCCUCCUGGAGGUGCGCAGGAACUGCGGCUGGCGCAACCUCCUCCUGGAGGUGCGCAGGAACUGCGGCUGGCGCAACCUCCUCCUGGAGGUGCGCAGGAACUGCGGCUGGCGCAACCUCCUCCUGGAGGUGCGCAGGAACUGCGGCUGGCGCAACCUCCUCCUGGAGGUGCGCAGGAACUGCGGCUGGCGCAACCUCCUCCUGGAGGUGCGCAGGAACUGCGGCUGGCGCAACCUCCUCCUGGAGGUGCGCAGGAACUGCGGCUGGCGCAACCUCCUCCUGGAGGUGCGCAGGAACUGCGGCUGGCGCAACCUCCUCCUGGAGGUGCGCAGGAACUGCGGCUGGCGCAACCUCCUCCUGGAGGUGCGCAGGAACUGCGGCUGGCGCAACCUCCUCCUGGAGGUGCGCAGGAACUGCGGCUGGCGCGACCUCCUCCUGGAGGUGCGCAGGAACUGCGGCUGGCGCGACCUCCUCCUGGAGGUGCGCAGGAACUGCGGCUGGCGCGACCUCCUCCUGGAGGUGCGCAGGAACUGCGGCUGGCGCGACCUCCUCCUGGAGGUGCGCAGGAACUGCGGCUGGCGCAACCUCCUCCUGGAGAUGCGCAGGAACUGCGACUGGCGCGACCUCCUCCUGGAGGUGCGCAGGAACUGCGACUGGCGCGACCUCCUCCUGGAGGUGCGCAGGAACUGCGACUGGCGCGACCUCCUCCUGGAGGUGCGCAGGAACUGCGACUGGCGCGACCUCCUCCUGGAGGUGCGCAGGAACUGCGACUGGCGCGACCUCCUCCUGGAGGUGCGCAGGAACUGCGACUGGCGCGACCUCCUCCUGGAGGUGCGCAGGAACUGCGACUAGCGCGACCUCCUCCUGGAGGUGCGCAGGAACUGCGGCUGGCGCGACCUCCUCCUGGAGGUGCGCAGGAACUGCGACUGGCGCGACCUCCUCCUGGGGGCCGGCGGGCGCUACGGCUCCACGGGUGACGGGGACUGGAACGACCGCUACAGGGCCGACAGGAACGGGGACUGGAACGACCGCUACAGGGCCGACAGGAACGGGGACUGGAACGACCGCUACAGGGCCGACAGGAACGGGGACUGGAACGACCGCUACAGGGUCGACAGGAACGGGGACUGGAACGACCGCUACAGGGCCGACAGGAACGGGGUCAGAGACAGGGGUGACCUCCACUUGGCCUACGGGAACGCCCUCUACUUGGCCUACGGGAACGCCCUCUACUUGGCCUACGGGAACGCCCUCUACUUGGCCUACGGGAACGCCCUCUACUUGGCCUACGGGAACGCCCUCAACUUGGUCGACAGGGACAGGAGCUGGAACGACCUCAACUUGGUCGACAGGGACAGGAACUGGAACGACCUCAACUUGGUCGACAGGGACAGGAACUGGAACGACCUCAACAUGGCCGACAGGAACUGGAACGACCUCAACAUGGCCGACAGGAACUGGAACGACCUCAACAUGGCCGACAGGAACUGGAACGACCUCAACAUGGCCGACAGGAACUGGAACGACCUCAACAUGGCCGACAGGAACUGGAACGGCCUCUGCUUGGCCGACAGGAACUAGAACGGCGUCCUCCUCUGAGGAGCCGACAGGAACUGGAACGACCUCAACAUGGCCGACAGGAACUGGAACGACCGCAACAUGGCCGACAGGAACUGGAACGACCUCAACAUGGCCGACAGGAACUGGAACGGCCUCUGCUUGGCCGACAGGAACUAGAACGGCGUCCUCCUCUGAGGAGCCGACAGGAACUGGAACUAGAACGGCCUCAAUAUGGCCGACGGGAACAGGAACGGCGUCCUCCUCUGAGGAGCCGACAGGAACUAGAACGGCGUCCUCCUCUGAGGAGCCGACAGGAACUAGAACGGCCGCAACAUGGCCGACAGGGACUGGAAUGGCCGCAACAUGGCCGACAGGGACUGGAACGGCGUCAACUCCGGAGCUGGCAUGA
ensembl:lncRNA